rnacentral:rRNA from 1 species
AUGCACAAAUAUUCCCAGCCUCUGCGGCUCCAAUUUGCAAAAGCUACUCAAGAAUUGACCCAACCCACCCGGCCUUCUCCUACCAACCAAGCAGCUCCAAACACCAAGAAAUCCACAGAAACCGAGAUCUCUCUCUCUCCGACCCGACGGAUCCCUGGUUGUUGUUGUAGCUGGGCAAUGGCGACCGACGCGAUCCUGGAGACCAUCAAGCCUCGGCGGAGCCCGUGGCUGGAGGACCUCCCAGUGACGAAUGGGGGCGCAGCGAAGGGCGGCAAGGUCAACCUGUCCGGGAUGCGCCGGCGCGUGUCGUCGUCCUUGUCAUUGAGCCUCCAGCCGCUGUCCUCGUCUUCGUCCGCGGCGUUCCGGCGCGCGCGGUCGAUGCCGUCGAUCAAGGCGCUGGCGGCGGCGGGCGCGGUGCGGCAGUGGUGGGAGUGGGGGCUCGGUUGGGUGAUGACCCGGAAGCCCUCCUUCGCGCGUGGCCUCGAGAUGAGCGAUGACGAGGCCGCCCUGCUCGGGUGCCACUGCCGCGGCACGCUCCGGCACGUCUUCUACAAGGCACGCGCCGAGGUGCGCCGCCUCCUUGGCCGCGACGGCCGCCCGCUCGGAGGCGUCGCCGCGCAGGACUUCAGGUACGACUCCGUCAGCUACGCUCAGAACUUCGACAACGGCGACGUCGACGCCAGAUGCUAG